AUUUCCUCUGUUGUUGGACCUCCAC
rnacentral:piRNA from 1 species